UGGGAAGGGAUUUUUGUUUAGAACCUAAGC
rnacentral:piRNA from 1 species